CUACGGGCUGCUGCAGUGGGGAAUAUUGCACAAUGAGCGAAAGCUUGAUGCAGCCAUACCGCGUGUGUGAAGAAGGCCCGAGGGUUGUAAAGCACUUUCAAUUGUGAGGAAGAUAGUAUAGUUAAUACCUGUAUUGUUUGACGUUAACUUUAGAAGAAGCACCGGCUAACUCUGUGCCAGCAGCCGCGGUAAUACAGAGGGUGCAAGCGUUAUUCGGAAUUACUGGGCGUAAAGCGCGCGUAGGCGGACUAUUAAGUCAGUUGUGAAAGCCCUGGGCUCAACCUGGGAACUGCAUCUGAUAAUGGUAGUCUAGAGUUUAAGAGAGGGAAGUGGAAUUCCAGGUGUAGCAGUGAAAUGCGUAGAUAUCUGGAGGAACAUCAGUGGCGAAGGCGACUUCCUGGCUUAAAACUGACGCUGAGGUGCGAAAGCGUGGGUAGCGAACGGGAUUAGAUACCCUCGUAGUC
rnacentral:rRNA from 1 species